rnacentral:rRNA from 1 species
UUAAGCGACUAAGCGUACACGGUGGAUGCCCUGGCAGUCAGAGGCGAUGAAGGACGUGCUAAUCUGCGAUAAGCGUCGGUAAGGUGAUAUGAACCGUUAUAACCGGCGAUUUCCGAAUGGGGAAACCCAGUGUGUUUCGACACACUAUCAUUAACUGAAUCCAUAGGUUAAUGAGGCGAACCGGGGGAACUGAAACAUCUAAGUACCCCGAGGAAAAGAAAUCAACCGAGAUUCCCCCAGUAGCGGCGAGCGAACGGGGAGCAGCCCAGAGCCUGAAUCAGUGUGUGUGUUAGUGGAAGCGUCUGGAAAGGCGCGCGAUACAGGGUGACAGCCCCGUACACAAAAAUGCACAUGCUGUGAGCUCGAUGAGUAGGGCGGGACACGUGGUAUCCUGUCUGAAUAUGGGGGGACCAUCCUCCAAGGCUAAAUACUCCUGACUGACCGAUAGUGAACCAGUACCGUGAGGGAAAGGCGAAAAGAACCCCGGCGAGGGGAGUGAAAAAGAACCUGAAACCGUGUACGUACAAGCAGUGGGAGCACGCUUAGGCGUGUGACUGCGUACCUUUUGUAUAAUGGGUCAGCGACUUAUAUUCUGUAGCAAGGUUAACCGAAUAGGGGAGCCGAAGGGAAACCGAGUCUUAACUGGGCGUUAAGUUGCAGGGUAUAGACCCGAAACCCGGUGAUCUAGCCAUGGGCAGGUUGAAGGUUGGGUAACACUAACUGGAGGACCGAACCGACUAAUGUUGAAAAAUUAGCGGAUGACUUGUGGCUGGGGGUGAAAGGCCAAUCAAACCGGGAGAUAGCUGGUUCUCCCCGAAAGCUAUUUAGGUAGCGCCUCGUGAAUUCAUCUCCGGGGGUAGAGCACUGUUUCGGCAAGGGGGUCAUCCCGACUUACCAACCCGAUGCAAACUGCGAAUACCGGAGAAUGUUAUCACGGGAGACACACGGCGGGUGCUAACGUCCGUCGUGAAGAGGGAAACAACCCAGACCGCCAGCUAAGGUCCCAAAGUCAUGGUUAAGUGGGAAACGAUGUGGGAAGGCCCAGACAGCCAGGAUGUUGGCUUAGAAGCAGCCAUCAUUUAAAGAAAGCGUAAUAGCUCACUGGUCGAGUCGGCCUGCGCGGAAGAUGUAACGGGGCUAAACCAUGCACCGAAGCUGCGGCAGCGACGCUUAUGCGUUGUUGGGUAGGGGAGCGUUCUGUAAGCCUGUGAAGGUGUACUGUGAGGUAUGCUGGAGGUAUCAGAAGUGCGAAUGCUGACAUAAGUAACGAUAAAGCGGGUGAAAAGCCCGCUCGCCGGAAGACCAAGGGUUCCUGUCCAACGUUAAUCGGGGCAGGGUGAGUCGACCCCUAAGGCGAGGCCGAAAGGCGUAGUCGAUGGGAAACAGGUUAAUAUUCCUGUACUUGGUGUUACUGCGAAGGGGGGACGGAGAAGGCUAUGUUGGCCGGGCGACGGUUGUCCCGGUUUAAGCGUGUAGGCUGGUUUUCCAGGCAAAUCCGGAAAAUCAAGGCUGAGGCGUGAUGACGAGGCACUACGGUGCUGAAGCAACAAAUGCCCUGCUUCCAGGAAAAGCCUCUAAGCAUCAGGUAACAUCAAAUCGUACCCCAAACCGACACAGGUGGUCAGGUAGAGAAUACCAAGGCGCUUGAGAGAACUCGGGUGAAGGAACUAGGCAAAAUGGUGCCGUAACUUCGGGAGAAGGCACGCUGAUAUGUAGGUGAAGUCCCUCGCGGAUGGAGCUGAAAUCAGUCGAAGAUACCAGCUGGCUGCAACUGUUUAUUAAAAACACAGCACUGUGCAAACACGAAAGUGGACGUAUACGGUGUGACGCCUGCCCGGUGCCGGAAGGUUAAUUGAUGGGGUUAGCGCAAGCGAAGCUCUUGAUCGAAGCCCCGGUAAACGGCGGCCGUAACUAUAACGGUCCUAAGGUAGCGAAAUUCCUUGUCGGGU